rnacentral:rRNA from 1 species
AUGGCUACUAGGUCAUCUCUGCUGCAACUGUUGGUCGUGGCAGUAGCCGCGGCGCAGUUUCUCGGGUCGGAAGCCGGCGGCAUUUCCAUCUACUGGGGUCAGAAUGGUGGAGAGGGCACGCUGGCUGCAACCUGCGCCACUGGCAACUACAAAUUUGUCAACAUCGCCUUCCUUUCCUCCUUCGGCAAUGGCCAGCCGCCAGUCCUCAACCUGGCAGGCCACUGCGUCCCAACCAACGGCGGGUGCGCUAGUCUAAGUUCCGACGUCAAGUCAUGCCAGAGCAACGGCGUCAAGGUCAUGCUCUCCAUCGGUGGCGGAGCAGGCGGUUACUACCUUUCCUCGUCCCAGGACGCUAAGAAUGUCGCGACGUACCUGUGGAACAACUUCUUAGGAGGUACGUCACCUUCGCGGCCUCUCGGUGAUGCAGUCCUCGAUGGCAUCGACUUCGAUAUCGAGGGCGGUACACCCCUGCACUGGGACGAUCUUGCAAGGUUCCUAAAAGGGUAUAGCAACUCCGGCAGGAGAGUGUACUUGACUGCCGCGCCACAGUGCCCUUUCCCUGAUGCAUGGGUGGGAGGCGCCCUCAACACCGGUCUCUUUGACUAUGUGUGGGUGCAGUUCUACAACAAUGCUCCUUGCCAAUAUACUUCAGGAAGCACUUCCAAUCUAGCUGAUUCAUGGAAGCAGUGGUUGACCGUUCCUGCAAAGCAGAUCUUCCUUGGUCUACCGGCAUCACCUGAGGCUGCUGGGAGCGGGUUCAUCCCGGCUGAUGACCUAAAGUCUGAUGUUCUCCCAUUGAUCAAGAGUGCGGGGAAGUAUGGUGGGAUCAUGUUGUGGUCCAAGUAUUAUGAUGACCAGGAUGGCUAUAGCUCUUCGGUGAAGAAUGAUGUUUGA